rnacentral:rRNA from 1 species
UACGUAGGGGGCGAGCGUUGUCCGGAAUUACUGGGCGUAAAGGGCGCGUAGGCGGCAUAAUAAGUCUGUUGUGAAAAUCCAGCGCUUAACGUUGGACGUGCAAUGGAAACUAUUAAGCUCGAGUGUGGUAGAGGCAAGUGGAAUUCCCAGUGUAGCGGUGAAAUGCACAGAGAUUGGGAGGAACACCAGUGGCGAAGGCGACUUGCUGGGCCAAGACUGACGCUGAAGCGCGAAAGCGUGGGGAGCAA